AAGGGGAGGGAGCAAGGACUUACGGGAAAUGUAGUUUUUAUUUUGGUAUUGAACUUCGGGGCUCCUUUUGCGCUUGCGUACUUCAGCUCCGUAGGUGCAAGUUGUCUUUCCCCAGGCUACAGCCUCGCUUGGGAGGAGGCUCUGGGGCGGUGGAGUCUCUGCGAUCAUCCGGGGCCAGUGCAGCCCAACAAGGGAGCGGACUCAAAGAAGUAAUUGUGAAAUAUGUGUGGACUGAAUCCUUACUUGGCCCUUGUAUUUUGGAGAUCCUUGAUUCGUCUGAGCCCUUGAGUCAGGCAGCACACUUGAGGUUUCUGGACGGGACCUGCCCUUUCCAGCCUUUGUCUUUGGAGGCCUUCAUUUGAGUUUAUAGAUGGCCCAGCCCUUGGUUCUUGGAGAAGGUCACCGCUUCCUUAGAACAGCAGCUCUUGAGGUAAGAAGGGAUAAUCCUCAGGAAACCCAUCUGGAAGAUCACCCCUCCAUCUCAGACCUCUCACCAGGGCCUCAGAACAGAGGCAGAAGAGGCCCAGGAAAGACUAUGCCAGAACUGCCUGGACAGAAGUAAUCCUUGGUCCUCCUACCCAGAAUGGGCAACACUGGGUGAUGUCACCACAUCCAGAAUUCCGGACUGUCUAGCGAUCAGCUUCAGAACUGAGGUGAGGCUGGCAGCACCGCCGAGGGCCCCUCACAGGAGGCUUUGUGAGGACACAGUCCAAGAAAAGGAGUCACCACCCGCAGAAGGGGACAUUGCCCCUUUGCCUGCCCUCAUCAACCCCAGUCCCUUCGCUCUGCACUUAUUCUCCGCACAACCUAGAGAGAUGCUCCAUUACGCCUGCUGUUCUGAUGGUAAAGAAUCAAAGAAAUAAUGUGUAGAGUUUCAAGAUUUUUCUUUUUGCCUUUGAGAGGUGAAGAAAAAAUGGGCCUAAAGAUAAGUGACUUGUUUAGAGUCAUAUGAUUUAUUAGUGGCAUGGACAGAGAACUCAUUCCUGUCACUCUUAACAAUUAAGUCACAUCAAGUUUUUUAUUAAAAGAUCCUUUUGGUACAACUAGAAUAUACAACUAUGUACUGGGGGGCUUUGGGAAGAAAAAGAAGAAGGGGAAAAAAAAGAGAAGAUUGGCAACAGAUGUUAGCGCAGGUGCCAAUCUUAAAAAAAACAAAGAAAAGAAAAAGAUCCUUUUGAGAAACUAACGAAGUUAGAAUAAGUGAAAUUCCCCAUCCUUUUCCAGGGGAUGUUGAUAAGGAUUUUCUAAGUCAAGGGGCAAACACUGUCACUAGGAAUGCAGAGAAACAAUACAGCCUGGGCUUGCUUGCUUGUGUGCUUGCUUGAUUUUAUUUACUUCUAUUUUUGCAGUUUAGUUCUAAUGAAGGCAUAGUCUUCUCUGUAUUGUACUUUGUUUAAUGAAUCCUCUGUUUUUAAUUUUUCUUUUAGUCAGUGGGUGGGGAAGAUAAAUUCUUUAUAAAUUAGUAGGAAAUGUUUACAUUCAUCCAAAGAAAAAUUGCCUUCUAAGCUCUCUGACCUGUCAGAGUCAGCAUGGACACCUGGGUGCUCCUCCACAGGGUCUGUCCUGCCCUUCCUUGGGUUAAAGGGACAUUGUCCCUCACAGGCCUUAUAGGCAGCUGCUGUGUGAAGCUUGAUUGGCAGAUGAGUCUGAGAGCUGUGCAGCAGGCCCAGAAUCACAGGACCUCAUGGUCUUCCUUCUUCUCCAGCUGUACCUUUACAGUUCUCUUCAGUUUUCCAAGAGCAACAGGAAAUGAACAAGUCACCGGUGAGUUAUGUAUUCCCACUUUGUUUUACAGUGGACUUUGUGUAAUUUGUAAGGGAACAGAAAUUUAAAUGGAAAAGUAGAAAUGAAAAUCAGUGUCACAGAAACCGUAGAGUGGCAGGUCAGUAGCUAAGCAAAGUCAUCAUAUGGAUACAUGCAGGUCCUAUAACGUCCUGGAGUUACCAAAG